rnacentral:rRNA from 1 species
GAUGAACGCUGGCGGCGUGCUUAACACAUGCAAGUCGAACGAUGAAGCCCAGCUUGCUGGGUGGAUUAGUGGCGAACAGGUGAGUAACACGUGAGUAACCUGCCCUUAACUCUGGGAUAAGCCUGGGAAACUGGGUCUAAUACCGGAUAGGAGCGCCUACCGCAUGGUGGGUGUUGGAAAGAUUUAUCGGUUUUGGAUGGACUCGCGGCCUAUCAGCUUGUUGGUGAGGUAAUGGCUCACCAAGGCGACGACGGGUAGCCGGCCUGAGAGGGUGACCGGCCACACUGGGACUGAGACACGGCCCAGACUCCUACGGGAGGCAGCAGUGGGGAAUAUUGCACAAUGGGCGAAAGCCUGAUGCAGCGACGCCGCGUGAGGGAUGACGGCCUUCGGGUUGUAAACCUCUUUCAGUAGGGAAGAAGCGAAAGUGACGGUACCUGCAGAAGAAGCACCGGCUAACUACGUG